rnacentral:rRNA from 1 species
GAUAAACGCUAGCGGCAGGCUUAACACAUGCAAGUCGAGGGGCAGCAUAGAUUGUAGCAAUACAAUUGGUGGCGACCGGCGCACGGGUGCGUAACGCGUAUGCAACCUACCCGUCACAGGGGGAUAAUCCGGAGAAAUCUGGUCUAAUACCCCAUAACAUAUGGAUCGGCAUCGGUUCAUGUUGAAAUUUUCGGAGGUGACGGAUGGGCAUGCGUAGCAUUAGCUUGUUGGUGAGGUAACGGCUCACCAAGGCGACGAUGCUUAGGGGGACUGAGAGGGUUUCCCCCCACACUGGUACUGAGACACGGACCAGACUCCUACGGGAGGCAGCAGUGAGGAAUGUUGGUCAAUGGGCGCAAGCCUGAACCAGCCAUGCCGCGUGCAGGAUGACGGCUCUAUGAGUUGUAAACUGCUUUUGUACGAGGGUAAAGUGGGUUACGUGUAACCUUUUGGAAGUAUCGUACGAAUAAGGAUCGGCUAACUCCGUGCCAGCCGCCGCGGUAA